rnacentral:misc_RNA from 1 species
GAUUCAUGAAAGCAGAAUCAACAUCCUAACAUCAAGUAAUAAACCACAAUGUAUCGCUAUGAUAAACACAACGAUCCUAACACUAAACGCAGAGAGAAAACAAACUCCCCCAAGAGAAAAUAUUCUUGAAACUAAACCAAAGAAAAUAUGAACACUCCCAAGUCUCAACGAUGUUAUGUCAUACUCAUAUCCAAUCCCCCAUUACACCUGGAUAUGGGCAGCACUUACCUCAAACUAAGUCGUUACAAGCUUAAGCUUUAGCAUCAGUUUUGCUGCUUGUAGAACCAGGUGCAUUAACAGCCUCUUCAAGAGGUGCUCGAUUGACUUUUUCACCCUCUUUAUCGUCACCCUCGUUGAUGUCAUUGUCAUCUUCAUCAUCCCCUCCAAAUGCAUUAGCACCCAAGCCUUCGCCAGCACCAAUACCGAGUUUCGAAAAGUCCAAGUUGCUAAAGUCCAUAUCGUUGGCAGAGUUAUUUCCUUUUUCUUCAUCUUCAUCAAUCCAUUUGUCCCAAUCAAUUUUCACGAAAACAGGAGGUUUCCCUUCUUGCUUCAACAAUCUGCUCCACCACUUCUUUUCAGCCUUUUCUAUCAAGUACCUGAUGUUUCUCAUGCCAACACUAGCCUUGCUCUCAUUUAUGUCCACUUUAUCAUACAGCUCAAUGUCAACUUCAUAUGGAAUCUUCUCUGCUCCACUAACUGCAGAAAAGGAAAAGUUCCCUUCAGGUUCCAACUUAAGCUUCACAUCCUGGGCAUCUGGCAAGUCAAUUGUUAUGAAUAGCCUAUCUGAUGUCUGUGCCCAUCUUAAAGUAGGGUGUCGGCUCAUGUUUGGGACUCGAUGAACGAAAUCGCAAUCGAAUUGUAUUCGGGUGCUAAUCGAAUCGUUACAGAGGAAGAAAUGGGAAACGAAGACAAAGCCAUGGGAUAAA